rnacentral:rRNA from 1 species
GAUGAACGCUGGCGGCGUGCCUAAUACAUGCAAGUCGAGCGAACAGACGAGGAGCUUGCUCCUCUGACGUUAGCGGCGGACGGGUGAGUAACACGUGGAUACCCUACCUAUAAGACUGGGAUAACUUCGGGAAACCGGAGCUAAUACCGGAUAAUAUAUUGAACCGCAUGGUUCAAUAGUGAAAGACGGUUUUGCUGUCACUUAUAGAUGGAUCCGCGCCGCAUUAGCUAGUUGGUAAGGUAACGGCUUACCAAGGCAACGAUGCGUAGCCGACCUGAGAGGGUGAUCGGCCACACUGGAACUGAGACACGGUCCAGACUCCUACGGGAGGCAGCAGUAGGGAAUCUUCCGCAAUGGGCGAAAGCCUGACGGAGCAACGCCGCGUGAGUGAUGAAGGUCUUCGGAUCGUAAAACUCUGUUAUUAGGGACGAACAAAUGUGUAAGUAACUAUGCACGUCUUGACGGUACCUAAACAGAAAGCCACGGCUAACUACGUG